UUGAUGGAGAAUUUGAUCCUGGUUCAGAACGAACGUUGGCGGCGUGGAUGAGGCAUGCAAGUCGAACGGUAAGGCCCCUUCGGGGGUACACGAGUGGCGAAAGGGUGAGUAAUAGCUGGUUAAUCUACCCUCGAGUGGGGGAUAACUCCGGGAAACUGGGGCUAAUACCGCAUAAGACCACGACAAGGCAUCUUGUUGAGGUCAAAGUCUUCGGACGCUUGAGGAGGAGACCAGCCCGUAUCAGCUAGUUGGUAGGGUAACGGCCUACCAAGGCUACGACGCGUAGCCGGCCUGAGAGGGUGGCCGGCCACACUGGGACUGAGACACUGCCCAGACUCCUACGGGAGGCUGCAGUCGAGAAUCAUUGUCAAUGAGCGCAAGCUUGAACGUGCGACGCCGCGUGUGGGAUGAAGGCCUUCGGGUUGUAAACCACUGUCAGGAGCUAACAAUAAGCGUGUAACUCACGUGAUGAGUUAAACUCCAGAGGAAGUGACAGCUAACUACGUGCCAGCAGCUGCGGUAAUACGUAGGUCGCAAACGUUGUUCGGAUUUACUGGGCUUAAAGGGCGCGUAGGUGGCUUCGUAAGUCAUGGUUGAAAUCCGGCGGCUCACCCGCCGAACUGGCCAUGAUACUGCGGAGCUAGAGUCAUGGAGGGGUGCGCGGAACUUGUGGUGGAGCGGUGAAAUGCUCAGAUAUCACAGGGAACACCGGAGGCGAAGGCGGCGCACUGGACAUGUACUGACGCUGAGGCGCGAAAGCGUGGGGAGCGAACGGGAUUAGAUACCCCGGUAGUCCACGCCGUAAACGAUGUGCACUAGGGAGAGGGAGGCACCUAGCCACUCUCUCCCCAAGGGAAACCGAUAAGUGCACCGCCUGGGGAGUAUGCUCGCAAGGGUAAAACUCAAAGGAAUUGACGGGGGCUCACACAAGCGGUGGAGCAUGUGGUUUAAUUCGAAGCAACGCGAAGAACCUUACCAGGCCUAGACAUCUAGGUGUAACCAUGUGAAAGCAUGGCCAACCCUUCGGGGAAACCUAGUGCAGGUGUUGCAUGGCUGUCGUCAG
rnacentral:rRNA from 1 species